rnacentral:rRNA from 1 species
AACGAACGCUGGCGGCAUGCCUAACACAUGCAAGUCGAACGAGACCUUCGGGUCUAGUGGCGCACGGGUGCGUAACGCGUGGGAACCUGCCCUUAGGUUCGGAAUAACUCCCCGAAAGGGGUGCUAAUACCGGAUAAUGUCUUCGGACCAAAGAUUUAUCGCCUUUGGAUGGGCCCGCGUUGGAUUAGCUAGUUGGUAGGGUAAAAGCCUACCAAGGCGACGUUCCAUAGCUGGUCUGAGAGGAUGAUCAGCCACACUGGCACUGAGACACGGCCCAGACUCCUACGGGAGGCAGCAGUGGGGAAUAUUGGACAAUGGGCGAAAGCCUGAUCCAGCAAUGCCGCGUGAGUGAUGAAGGCCUUAGGGUUGUAAAGCUCUUUUACCCGGGAUGAUAAUGACAGUACCGGGAGAAUAAGCUCCGGCUAACUCCGUG